rnacentral:rRNA from 1 species
AGAGUUUGAUCCCGGUUCAGGAUGAACGCUGGCGGCGUGCUUAACACAUGCAAGUCNAGCGGAGAUAUAAAAAGGAAGCCCUUCGGGGUGGAAUUUUUACAUCUUAGCGGCGGACGGGUGCGUAACACGUGGGUAACCUGCCCCUAUCACUGGGAUAACACACUGAAAAGUGUGCUAAUACCAGAUAAUAUAAGCUUUUGGCAUCAUUAGCUUAUCAAAGAAUUUCGGAUAGGGAUGGGCCCGCGUCUGAUUAGCUAGUUGGUGAGGUAACGGCUCACCAAGGCAACGAUCAGUAGCCGACCUGAGAGGGUGAUCGGCCACACUGGAACUGAGACACGGUCCAGACUCCUACGGGAGGCAGCAGUGGGGAAUAUUGCACAAUGGGCGAAAGCCUGAUGCAGCAACGCCGCGUGAGCGAUGAAGGCCUUCGGGUCGUAAAGCUCUGUCCUAUGGGAAGAUAAUGACGGUACCAUAGGAGGAAGCCCCGGCUAACUACGUGCCAGCAGCCGCGGUAAUACGUAGGGGGCAAGCGUUAUCCGGAAUUACUGGGCGUAAAGGGUGCGUAGGCGGUUUAUCAAGUCAGGGGUGAAAGGCUACGGCUCAACCGUAGUGAGCCUCUGAAACUGGUGAACUUGAGUGUAGGAGAGGAAAGUGGAAUUCCCAGUGUAGCGGUGAAAUGCGUAGAUAUUGGGAGGAACACCAGUGGCGAANGCGACUUUCUGGACUACAACUGACGCUGA